rnacentral:tRNA from 1 species
GGUGGGGUGGCCGAGCGGUUGAAGGCGCCGGUCUUGAAAACCGGUGAACCCGUCAGGGUUCCGCAGGUUCGAAUCCUGUCCCCACCG